AGUGAACGCUGGCGGUAGGCCUAACACAUGCAAGUCGAACGGCAGCACAGUAAGAGCUUGCUCUUACGGGUGGCGAGUGGCGGACGGGUGAGGAAUACAUCGGAAUCUACUUUUUCGUGGGGGAUAACGUAGGGAAACUUACGCUAAUACAGCAUACGACCUACGGGUGAAAGCAGGGGAUCUUCGGACCUUGCGCGAUUGAAUGAGCCGAUGUCGGAUUAGCUAGUUGGCGGGGUAAAGGCCCACCAAGGCGACGAUCCGUAGCUGGUCUGAGAGGAUGAUCAGCCACACUGGAACUGAGACACGGUCCAGACUCCUACGGGAGGCAGCAGUGGGGAAUAUUGGACAAUGGGCGCAAGCCUGAUCCAGCCAUACCGCGUGGGUGAAGAAGGUCUUCGGGUUGUAAAGCCCUUUUGUUGGGAAAGAAAAGCAGCAGGUUAAUACCCCGCUGUUCUGACGGUACCCAAAGAAUAAGCACCGGCUAACUUCGUG
rnacentral:rRNA from 1 species